rnacentral:rRNA from 1 species
UACGGGGGGAGCAAGCGUUGUUCGGAUUUACUGGGCGUAAAGGGCGCGUAGGCGGUCGUGACAAGUCACUUGUGAAAUCUCCGGGCUUAACUCGGAACGGUCAAGUGAUACUGUCGGACUAGAGUACAGAAGGGGCAACUGGAAUUCUCGGUGUAGCGGUGAAAUGCGUAGAUAUCGAGAGGAACACCUGCGGCGAAGGCGGGGUGCUGGGCUGAUACUGACGCUGAGGCGCGAAAGCCAGGGGAGCGAACAGG